AGCGAACGCUGGCGGCAGGCCUAACACAUGCAAGUCGAACGAACCCUUCGGGGUUAGUGGCGGACGGGUGAGUAACACGUGGGAACGUGCCUUUAGGUUCGGAAUAACUCAGGGAAACUUGUGCUAAUACCGAAUGUGCCCUUCGGGGGAAAGAUUUAUCGCCUUUAGAGCGGCCCGCGUCUGAUUAGCUAGUUGGUGAGGUAAUGGCUCACCAAGGCUACGAUCAGUAGCUGGUCUGAGAGGAGGACCAGCCACAUUGGGACUGAGACACGGCCCAAACUCCUACGGGAGGCAGCAGUGGGGAAUCUUGCGCGAUGGGCGAAAGCCUGACGCAGCCAUGCCGCGUGGAUGAUGAAGGUCUUAGGAUUGUAAAAUCCUUUCACCGGUGAAGAUAAUGACUGUAGCCGGAGAAGAAGCCCCGGCUAACUUCGUGCCAGCCGCCGCAGUAAGAC
rnacentral:rRNA from 1 species